AGACUCCAGUGUGGAGUUUUGCUUUCCUCUCUUUGGCUGUAUUGAGUAACUGGAGAAAAUGAGAGCAAGCACAGAUUAGGUGCCAAAGACCCUAGGGUGCUGGUGGUUGUUACACUUUGUUACUGUGGUACUGAGAAUUGAACCCAGGACCUUGUGCAUACUAGACAGGUACUGUACUCCAUGUAACACAUAGCUGUAUCUCCUGUCCUUUUGAAACUUUUUCCAUGUUAAAAUUUUAUUUUUGAAUAUGUUGUCUGUGUGUGUGUGUGUGUGUGUGUACCAUGUACAUAGUUGGUCCUCUGUGUGUAUACCAUGUACAUAGUUGGUCCCUGUGGAAGCCAGAAGAGGAUGUGGCUAUGAGCUACCUUGUAUGCUAGGAAGAACACCUGGAUCCUCUAGAAGAACAGGCAGUGCUCUUAACACUGAGCUGUCUCCUCCAGCCCCAACCUCUCCCCUUCCCGCCCCCCCCCCCACGCCCUGGCCUCCAAGAAGGUCUUAUAUAGUCAAGAUUGGCUUUAAAUUCACUAUUUAGACAAGAAUGACCUUGAAAUUCUUAUUCUCCUGCCUCUAACUCAAUUGCCAACUGCUGGGAUUGUGAGUGAGUACUACCAUUUUUGGCUUUUGAGACAGGGUCUCAUAAAACCUAGGUUGGCCUUAAAUUUGCUGUAUACCCAUGGCUGGUUUUGAACACACCCACAUUACUGCUGUAUUUCAGACAGGGCUCACUUCAUUGCCCAGGCUUGCCUGGUCCUCACUCUGUAACCAGCUGGGCCUUCCUGCCUUGCCCCCUCAGUAGCUGCCAUUGCAUUCCUGAGCUUCUACCCAGUCUUGACUAGGAUUCUAAAUUCAGAUCUUGAAGUCAGGAAUAUGAUAGUCAGCUGAAAACUGUUCAUGUUACCUCUUACGUUGAUCCUAACACUGCAUGGCGCUAGUUCAAAUUGAGGCUAGGCCUUGGGACUUGUCUCCAGCAUCUCAUAUUAAGUGGGGGGAGGGGAGACGACAUGCUGCCAUCAUUUGGACCCAAACUCUCAAAGGCAGAGGCAGGCAAAUCUCUGAUUACAAAGCCAGACUGGUCUACUUAGCAAAUUUCAGAUCAGAAACUCUUUCUUAAACACAUCCAAAACCAACAACAGCAUCAAUAACAGCAACAAAUAGAAGUCAGCACUCUGAGAAGAAGAUCAAGGCUGUCUUUGGUCUCAUAAGUUUCAGGCUAGGCUUGGCUAUGCAAAAUUCAGUCUCAAAACGAAAUAAAAUCUGAUGUCCUGGAUUUUGUUUGGGUUUUUUUGUUUGUUUUUUUUUGUUUUUUUUUGUUUUGUUUUGUUUUUUUGCCUUUCUUUUUUAUAUUUAUUGGUUUCCUAAGACAAGGUUUCUCUGUAGCCCUGGCUGUCCUGGAACUCACUCUGUAGACCAGGCUGGCCUUGAAUUCAGAAAUCUUCCUGCCUCUGCCUCCUAAGUGCUGGGAUUAAAGGCGUGUACCACCACUGCCUGGGUCUUUUUUAUGUCUUUAAGGCAGUCUUUCAUGGAGGGUUGGCCUUAAACCGGUUGUAUGCAGAAGGAUGACCUUGAACUCCUGAUUCUCCUGCUGCUGCUUCUGGAAUUAUGCCAACACAUCCAGCUCUUAGCUUUAAAUACCUAUUUUUAUUUUAUGUACAUUGAGUGUUUUGGCUGCAUGUGUGUUAGCAUGUUGUAUAUGUUGUGCCUGGUACCCACAGAGGCUAGGAGAGGAGGGUCGAUCCCCUGGAGUUGGGUUAGAAAUGGUGGUAAGCCACUAUGUGGGUGCCAGGAGUCAGUCCCGGAUCCUAACCACUGAACCAUCUCUCCAACACCAGCUCAAAAGGAAUGAAAGCUUGCUCAAGCCUGCCUUGGGGUCAGAGCGUUUUAAGAGUUCAUAUUUGUGACCCACUAAUCUUGUAUCCUUCAAGAAGUAAUUAAAGUGUAUUUUUUCCAGUCUUCAUUACUUCUGAACUCAAGCAAGAUGUCACUUGGGUGCUUUUGCCUUAGUUUGACCUUUUAUAGCCUCCACCUCAGAGCCAGCUUUAGAGACAGACAUUCUCUGGAUUCCAGUCUGGUCCAAUAGACAGUUGAGUGAGGGGAAAAAAAAACCAAGAGCUAAAUGAUGUAUUAAAUUAAGUGUAUUUAUCAAGUGUUCCCCGGAGCAGUGUUCAGUUUGAUUUGAAGUGACUCCGAUUCCUGAGGGAGAGAGUAGAGAGAAAAGACAGUUUCAUUAAUGGCUUUUGACUCCACAGAACAAAGCUCUGUAAAGAGAAUCAGUUGAAGGCUUGGCAUCCUGGCUCAGGCAGGCACUUCUUUCUGUUAGUUUUUGUCUUAUACCGAGUUGGACUUGGGGGUAAUUUGGCAAUUAUAGAACUCAGGCUGUUUGCCCUGGUUCCUGCCUGUUAUGGUAAUCUCUGUUGAGAUAAAGUGGGCACCUAAAGGCUUUACUUAAGCCCUAAAUCUGCUUUUGUGUUUUUCUUUUGACAAGUACUAGCUCUGGGUAUAGGUCAGGUUUUAAUGAAAUUCUUAGCAGUUGCCUGGCUGAGAUCUAAUAGGUUAAAGGAAAAUGGUAUGGUUGGUUAUAAAGAAGAUGGAGGCUCUCUGCACUAUGACCUUCCUCCCCCUCACCUGAGACUGGGGUUCUAUUGCAGCUUUGACUGUCGUGGAGCUUACUCUAUAGACCAGGAUGGCUUCAAAUUCCCAGAGUUUCAUCUGUCUUGGCUUCCCAAGUGCUGAGAGAGGUAGGGCCUUUGACCUCCCUUCUGGAGGCUUCUCCUGUCACCGCUCCCCAGAUGGACUCAGUGUCUCAUGAGCACUGAGCAGGGGAGCUCUUUGGGCAGUGUGCACAAAGAUGUCAUCUGGGUAGAGACUAAUGAGGGUAUCUUGUUUUUUUCUUCUGAGUUCCCCCCAAAUUUCUCUCAGUGAUUCCUAAUUCAGUCAGUUUUCUAGUUAGAUUGUGGAGGUUCAUGAGUUUACAUAUGUGUGAUAAGUACAAAACCUGAACACUGCUUUUUGCCCUAAAGUUGUGGUUUUCAAUGCUGCAGCCCUUCAGUAUGUACGGUUCCUCAUGUAUUGAGACCCCCAGACAUAAUACUAUUUUUGCUGUUCCUUUAUAACUCUAUUUUUGCUACUGUUAUGAAUCAUAAUAUAAUAUCUGGUAUGCAGGACAUAUGAGAUACAACCCCAGAGGUCACAACCCACAAGGUGAGAGCUGCCCUUGAGUAUGAAUGUCCUUAGAGAGUAAGGAAGAGAGGCUAGUGUUUGGUUUGCUUUGCUUUGUUUUCAGUGCAGGGGAUCUAACUUGAUACAUACAAGGCAAGUUUUUACAGCUCAGUGUAUACACGCCCCCAGUUCUUAGUGUUUUUAAAAAUGUGCCCUUUGAUCCAGUGGGGAGACAGUCCACCUAUUGCAUUGAU
rnacentral:lncRNA from 1 species